rnacentral:rRNA from 1 species
GUAGGGUGCAAGCGUUAAUCGGAAUUACUGGGCGUAAAGCGUGCGCAGGCGGUUCGUGAUGUCUGGUGUGAAAGCCCCGGGCUUAACCUGGGAAUUGCAUUGGAAACUAGCGGGCUGGAGUGUGGCAGAGGGGGGUGGAAUUCCACGUGUAGCAGUGAAAUGCGUAGAGAUGUGGAGAAACACCGAUGGCGAAGGCAGCCCCCUGGGCUAACACUGACGCUCAUGCACGAAAGCGUGGGGAGCAAACAGGAUUAGAUACCCUGGUAGUCCACGCCCUAAACGAUGGCAACUGGGUGUUGGGGAAGCGAUUUCUCAGUACCGUAGCUAACGCGUGAAGUUGCCCGCCUGGGGAGUACGGCCGCAAGGUUA